rnacentral:tRNA from 1 species
GGUUUCGUGGUGUAGUGGUUAUCACGUCUGCUUCACACGCAGAAGGUCGCGAGUUCGAACCUCGCCGAAACCU